rnacentral:rRNA from 1 species
GACGAACGCUGGCGGCGUGCUUAAUACAUGCAAGUCGAGCGAGAAGCCACCGCUCCGUAAGGAGUGGUGGUGGAAAGCGGCGAACGGGUGAGUAACACGUGGGUAACGUGCCCCGAACACUGGGAUAACGGCGGGAAACCGCCGCUAAUACCGGAUAACCCUGCAGCGUCGCAUGAUGCAACAGGCCAAGCCCCGACGGUUCGGGAUCGGCCCGCGGCGUAUCAGCUUGUUGGUGGGGUAACGGCCUACCAAGGCAGUGACGCGUAGCUGGCGUGAGAGCGCGACCAGCCACACUGGGACUGAGACACGGCCCAGACUCCUACGGGAGGCAGCAGUAGGGAAUCUUGCGCAAUGGGCGAAAGCCUGACGCAGCGACGCCGCGUGAGGGAUGAAGGCCUUCGGGUUGUAAACCUCUUUCAGCGGGGACGAAGCCUCACGGUGACGGUACCCGCAGAAGAAGGUCCGGCCAACUACGUGCCAGCCGCCGCGGUAA